GGAGUGGCGCACGGGUGAGUAGCGCGUGGGAACCUGCCUUUCAGUGGGGGAUAACCGAGGGAAACUUCGGCUAAUACCGCAUGCGCCCCGAGGCAACUCGGGGGAAAGAUUGAUCGCUGAGAGAGGGGCCCGCGUCGGAUUAGCUGGUUGGUGGGGUAACGGCUCACCAAGGCGAUGAUCCGUAGCUGGUCUGAGAGGAUGAUCAGCCACACUGGGACUGAGACACGGCCCAGACUCCUACGGGAGGCAGCAGUGGGGAAUAUUGGACAAUGGGGGCAACCCUGAUCCAGCAAUGCCGCGUGAGUGAAGAAGGCCGUCGGGUUGUAAAGCUCUUUCACCCGCGACGAUGGUGACGGUAGCGGGAGGAGAAGCCCCGGCUAACUUCGUGCCAGCAGCCGC
rnacentral:rRNA from 1 species